rnacentral:rRNA from 1 species
GACGUAGGGGGCAAGCGUUAUUCGGAUUCACUGGGCUUAAAGGGUGCGUAGGCGGCCAUGUAAGUAGGGUGUGAAAUCCCCCGGCUUAACCGGGGAACUGCGCCCUAAACUGUGUGGCUUGAGUGAGAUAGGGGUGUGUGGAACUUCCGGUGGAGCGGUGAAAUGUGUUGAUAUCGGAAGGAACGCCGGUGGCGAAAGCGACACACUGGGUCUCAACUGACGCUGAGGCACGAAAGCCAGGGGAGCGAACGGG